ensembl:lncRNA
GUCAUGGGGUUGGUAUAGCAUGUAGCUGUGUCGGGGUCAUCUGUCUAUUAGUGUGAUUUAUAUCAAACAGUUACAUCAAUGUCCAUGAAGAUGGUAUUAAUUGCUCAUCUAAAAAUCCCACCUAAUUGAAACUAUACAUGGAAGAUCUCAUUUGACUCUGUUUUGCUAUUUGUCAUAAAUGUUUUGAAAGAGGUAGAGAGUAUGGACAAUAAAAAGAGGUAGAGAGUAUGGACAAUAAAAGAGGUCGAGAGUAUGGACAAUAAAAGAGGUAGUGAGUAUGGACAAUAAAAGAGGUAGUGAGUAUGGACAAUAAAAGAGGUCGAGAGUAUGGACAAUAAAAGAGGUCGAGAGUAUGGACAAUAAAAGAGGUAGAGAGUAUGGACAAUAAAAGAGGUCGAGAGUAUGGACAAUAAAAGAGGUAGAGAGGCAUCUGGUGAAGGAACAGUAUAGAUAUAAGAAUGAGAAAGAGAGGGGCAUCGAAAACACAAGGUUUGGUGAUUGAUGAGGAGAUGAGCCAAAGAGCGUGGAAGAAAAUGGAAAAUAAGAAGAAAGGAUGGAGGAGAGGCAGAGAGAAAGCUGGAGAAGAAAAUGAAAGGAAAGGAAAUGAGAGGGAGAGCCCAAUAGAGAUAUUAAAGAAAGAAAGAAAACGUCGUUCCAGUUGAGAGGAGCGUUUUGCACUCUGGUCUUUCUUUCUUGUUCGGGUGGAGAGACCAAAUCCAAUGGUGAAUUGUGAAGGGUGGAGACACACACAGGGCAUUGUGGGGGUCACAACCUUGACUAUCGAUCCGAGCCUCCAUAAUUUCCCGGGCUUGCUGAGAUUCC